UCUUCUCUACCGAACUCUUCACAGCCGAAACUUUACUCCAAGAAAACCAUUUUCUUCCUCAUCUCUCCAAUCCAUUUGCUAUAUCACGAAGUGAUCUUUAUGAACCAAAAUUCUUUUACUCUUCAUCUCACAAAUCCAUCUGCUAUCCCACAUAAAUCAACAGAUAUUCAUGAACCAAAACAAUUAACAGAUCUACUCCAUGUAUUGAUGAUUCUUGUUCUGCUUUGGUAUUAUCUAGAUCCGUAAAUUCUCAUAUAGAAAAAGAACUAAUUUUGCUAGCCUUUUUUUUCAUGAACUCUGAUUUGCUACAGGGGUUUUGUUUAGUAUUCAUAAACUCUGAAAUUGAUCAACGAUUUGCUUCAACUGCAAUCACACAAACAAAUUACCAAUUCAAACUUCUUCAAAUAAUACAAUGAAUCGUUUGAUUUUAUGAAAUUGGAUCAAAAAAUAAACAGAGAAAAACCAGAGUUGGGUUUUGUUCUGAUUUUUAGGAUGAUAAUGGAACUACUUCAGGGAAUUGAUGCAAUUGGAAAUGAUAGUUUGAUUCUGUUCUAAGUGUUUUCAUAAUAAUACUGAUUUAGCUUUAAAAAGUUUUUGAUAGAAUGGAGGAGCAGUUCACAGGCGGGUAUGUGAGCAAUUGAACUUGCUCAGAUGUUGUUUGAUGAAAAAAGCCUGAGAAGGAUUUUUUUAUUGCACUAUUGUAAUCGAUGGGUACUAGGCGUGGAAAGGUGGUAUUAUCCAUGCUUUGUGUUUUAGUCCAAAUGUUCUAGUGGAUACAUGAACAUAUAAGGAAGAGUGCAGCUGAUUGUAAAUGUGUGUGUUUAGAGAAAUCAUUUGAAGUGCACUGCAUACCUUGUGGAUUGUAUUAUCCAACUGUGUGCAUGUGAGGGAAAGCUGCAAUUUAGCUAUUCGAGGCAAUGCAGAAACUUAUAAUGAUUAGCACCAGAUCGGACCACAACUGCAGAUUUGCUUAGUGCAUCUCCUCCGAAAGGUCUGAUAAGAAGUUAUCUUGAUGUCUCUUGCUUACUUUUGGGGCUUAAUGGCUUAUAUAGCAAUGGGAGACAUGACGACAUGAAAAUUUUUUGUUUGGCUAUUAUCAUACAAGCUAUUACAAGUCUAUGUUGUCGUUGGCCCCCCACCGUGCAAGCGGUCAUCUAGUCUUAACUAUACUUGGGAUGAAAGAAAAAACAGUCUCCCGUAGCAAAGUUCCAUAUGUGGUUGGUCUGAUGCAGGCAUUUGCUUUUUUCCAAGUGACAUCCUAUCGGCAGAAUUUGGAGUAGCUCUUGCGGUGUGAGCGCACAAGAUUCUUCAGUAAACAAGACCUCAAGUAGGCGCGCAAAAGCAAGGGCAUAUGUCCUCCAAAACUUCGUUGGAGGCUUCCCUUCCCGCUCUUUUAUGCUAACGUGUGUACAUGUUCUGAUCACCAUGAAGUAAAGCCUGCAUAUUGUGAAUAAAUCAGAAAGUUGUUGAAAUUUAAGUUGCAAGGGUGCAAGAUGAAUCUAAAGUGAUGACCGCAGAGAGUGGAACGUAACUUGGGAUGGCUCCUGAGGUAAGCAUUGUUAGUGUUCUCUUCUAGUUUCCUGCUGUAGCCACAAGGCUCAUAACUUUCAGUCUUUUCAGACAGGAACUUAUGUUACUACAUUGCGUUUUUCAAAAUUCUAACAUGAAAAAGCGGGGGUCUAACGACCACAUCCAAUAUUUCCAAUAUACUUUCUAGA